GGGGGCGUGGCGGAAUGGUAGACGCUACGGACUUAAAAUCCGUUGAGCCUUAUAAGCUCGUGAGAGUUCGAGUCUCUCUGCCCCCAUCA
rnacentral:tRNA from 8 species